rnacentral:sRNA from 1 species
GCUGAAGGUUUGCCCGAACGACCACCCCGCCGGCACGACGCUGUCGAAGACGAUGGUCUGGCCGCCGGUGGAGGUGACGGUGAAACUGAGCGCCUGACCAGCCAGUCCGGCGAGACACUGCCAAUUGGCGCCCCAAUUCCUCGACAUCUGAAUCCACCCCGUGCUUGAGCCCUUCACCGACAUGCUCGCGAUCGACCCGCUCCCGGCCAUGUUCGUCACCAACACCAGCUCGAAGUAGUUCAACCCGGUGAUGGUGAAUCUCACUCCCCCACUUCUCCAGCACUUCACCCUUCAAUAUAAUCCAUCACACCACAACCGCUGUAGAUGCCAAUGUUCUCCCAGGCGGGCUGGGACAUGUCGAAGUGAGGGCGGGUCGUGUUGCACCAGCCGCCGUAGGGGAGGUCAUAGUUGGGCGGGCAGAAGUUGGUGCCCGUCACGGUGAUCGCCGUGCCCAUCCUGCACCCGCUGGGCGCCUUGUCGUAGUUGCAGAUGAUGAGGUAGCAUUGCCCGCACGACGCCCCGUUGUUGAACAGUGGCGUGCUCAGCGCCGCGUUGUUGAUGCCG